GGUUCAGCUAGUUACCUAUAAAGCCCUAAACAGCUUAGGCCCUGGGUAUUUAAGAGAACGUCUUCUUCUCCAUGAGCCACGCCGCCUGCUAAGAUCAUCUGGAGAGGUUCGUCUGUGGCUGCUGCCAACUCGUCUGGCGACUACUUGGGAACGAGCCUUCUCCGUUGCAGCCCCUGGGCUUUGGAAUGCGCUCCCUGUUGAAAUAAGAGCCUCCCCAUCUCUGGCAACUUUUAAAAAGGUGCAGACAACCGGUAUAUACAAAACCCCUAGAUCUAAACUACUAAUGGCCUUAUGUGCUGUUGCUGUCUGGACUUGCCGCAUGGAUGAUAAACCUAAGAAGGAACUGCAGGGAUGCAACAUCCCUGUUGCCAAGCAGGAGAAGAAAGUGGCAGGAGAAGAAAGAAGAUGGCAAAGGGUGAAGCUUCAGCUCCGAGAGGUGGCCAGUGAGAAACACGGCUGCCCUAGAACUGGUGCAUUUCUGGGCUGCUCUGAGCCAACCUCUCGAUGGGAGCGACACAAUGCUGCCUUAUAAACUCAGGUUUCAGCAGUGAAACUCACUACAGACCAAAGGUUCAAAUCCAGAUUUGGUAGCAGAAAUUGACCUGUAGUUGGGUGACAAAACCAGUUUCAUGCAUUCAGAUGACCACAAACUCAAACCUCUGGCAUGUUUGCAUCUGGUUUGGUGUUAUGUCCGAACGUGGUCACUAUAAAGCAUCUGCAUAUGUUUACUGUGAGGGCAGAUCUUUUAGUUUCACAUUACACUCAAUGCCGGGGGUUGGGGUGAAGGAGGAUAAAACACUCAAGGGUAAUCAUUUGCCAUUUCUUCAAAUGUACAAACCUAAUUUUGGUAUAAAACAUUUUGAUAUUCACCUAUUCUAGGGUAUAGUGUUCUUCUGUUACAAAAUUAAUGUAAAGUUUGUCUUGGUGAACUUGGUGAACUGUCUUAUUAUAGGGGAUGACAGCUCUCUCUCUUAAUCUUAAUAUCUGCAGACCAAUAAAAUGGAGGAAAUUCCAUGAAAUAUAUCUCGAUAAUAUACAGUAUACAGAUACAGGGUCCCAUAAGUCAUUUCAGCAAUUCCAUGAAAUAUUGGGUCUGUAUAUGCUUUAUCUAUUGAAUAACUGAUAGGAGUUCAAAUGGCUAGCAGAAUUCCAUUCUUAAAAACAAUGGUUAAGAAAUGAGUAUUGAACAACGAAUGGCAUUUUUUGAUCAUAGACUGAUGUCUGUGAACACAAAUUAAUAUGAAAACAUUCUAGAAGAAGCUGGGAAGAUCAAUGUAAGCUGUUUGCAUUCAAGGCAGCAAUAAGCCCUUGGGAUCUCUGAGCAAGUGGUGUACAUACGACAAAUAUAUGAAUAUGAAUACGACAAAUAUUUAUAUACUGCUUUUCAACAAAAAUUCCCAAAACGGUUUACGUAUAAAUAAAUAAAUAAAAUUG